GACGAACGCUGGCGGCGUGCUUAACACAUGCAAGUCGAACGGAAAGGCCCUGCUUUUGUGGGGUGCUCGAGUGGCGAACGGGUGAGUAACGCGUGAGUAACCUGCCCUUGACUUUGGGAUAAAUUCAGGAAACUGGGGCUAAUACCGGAUAGGAGCUCCUGCUGCAUGGUGGGGGUUGGAAAGUUUCGGCGGUUGGGGAUGGACUCGCGGCUUAUCAGCUUGUUGGUGGGGUAGUGGCUUACCAAGGCUUUGACGGGUAGCCGGCCUGAGAGGGUGACCGGCCACAUUGGGACUGAGAUACGGCCCAGACUCCUACGGGAGGCAGCAGUGGGGAAUAUUGCACAAUGGGCGGAAGCCUGAUGCAGCAACGCCGCGUGCGGGAUGACGGCCUUCGGGUUGUAAACCGCUUUCGCCUGUGACGAAGCGUGAGUGACGGUAAUGGGUAAAGAAGCACCGGCUAACUACGUG
rnacentral:rRNA from 1 species